AAUUUUUCACUGUAUUCCUAGCCAUGUGUCCAUAUGUCAUUAGCUGCUUUGCACAGACAGAUUGUAUGAUAUAGCAGAUAGAGUCAGUAGACAUUUGAGUUCUGAAGAACUAUGUUUAAAUCUCUGCUAAACCUGAUGAAGUUACUUAGGAGGGUAGAAGCAUGACUGUUUACAUAGUGAGUAGCAUUACUCCUCUCAGCCUUACCUAUCUUGUAGGAUUUUAGUAAGAACAAAAUUGCAUAAUUUCUGCUGAGUUUGUUGGAGGAAUGGCAAAAUACAAGUGUACUAAAUUAGUGAAAGAAAGUGAAAAAAGGCAAAUGGAAUGUACAUUCCAGCCAGUGUAGGUUUUAUAUAUGCAUUGCAAUGUGGUGUAAAAACAAGUUAGAGAUCAUAGAACACCAUGGCUGGUGCAUUUCACUCCAUCCACAUUGCAUAAGACUCCUGGCAAAACAUGCAUAAAGCACAUACAAUUCUUUUUAUGUUUUCUUGUGUUGGCAUCUUUCCCAAUAUACUCUUUCUUAUUGUAUUCAACAACUGCAGAGGAUGUUCACAUCUGGAAAUCCUUCUACCUGUAUUGCUUUUUCAAUGAUAUCCAUCUAAAACUCCCAAAGAAAAUCACGACCUUUCAGAAUUUCCUUGGCUACUGUAUGGAUCUCUGCAAGAAAAUACUAGUUUUCUUCUUUGGGAAUAUUGGACAUCCUUCAGUCUGCACUUAUUGGAAGACUUUCUAGACUAAUGUCCAAGGACAGCCAAUCCAGCACUUUCAUUAGUUCAAAAAAACAGGUCCAGGGGUAUCACGUCCUCAGCAGGGUACCACCUCAACUGCUGACAGGCACCAGAUUAUCAAAUUGCCACAAAUGCACAAAGUGGAACAGUCGCAGCACAAUUCUUAGAUUACCUGGGCAGAGCUUGAAAAGAUGCACUUUUUUGGACCACAACCUAGAGACUCUGUGAACUGAAGUCCAAAAUACAACAUUUCUGAACUCUGAAACUCUGGCAUGCUUCAAUGUGCAAUUGCCAUGCCCCCUUCACACAAUCGAAAGGGGAGCCAUAAUAAAACAGUUCUAACGGUUCUACA
rnacentral:lncRNA from 1 species